rfam:Aedes albopictus isolate Foshan contig10286, whole genome shotgun sequence.
UGGCCUAGUGGUUAAGGCUAUGGAUCGCCAAUCCGGAAACGGCGGGUUCGAUUCCCGU